rnacentral:rRNA from 1 species
UAAGGGCGCACGGUGGAUGCCUUGGCACUAGAAGCCGAUGAAGGACGUUACUAACGACGAUAUGCUUUGGGGAGCUGUAAGUAAGCUUUGAUCCAGAGAUUUCCGAAUGGGGAAACCCAGCAUGAGUUAUGUCAUGUUAUCGAUAUGUGAAUACAUAGCAUAUCAGAAGGCACACCCGGAGAACUGAAACAUCUUAGUACCCGGAGGAAGAGAAAGAAAAUUCGAUUCCCUUAGUAGCGGCGAGCGAAACGGGAAGAGCCCAAACCAACAAGCUUGCUUGUUGGGGUUGUAGGACACUCUAUACGGAGUUACAAAGGACGACAUUAGACGAAUCAUCUGGAAAGAUGAAUCAAAGAAGGUAAUAAUCCUGUAGUCGAAAAUGUUGUCUCUCUUGAGUGGAUCCUGAGUACGACGGAGCACGUGAAAUUCCGUCGGAAUCUGGGAGGACCAUCUCCUAAGGCUAAAUACUCUCUAGUGACCGAUAGUGAACCAGUACCGUGAGGGAAAGGUGAAAAGCACCCCGGAAGGGGAGUGAAAUAGAACCUGAAACCGUGUGCUUACAAGUAGUCAGAGCCCGUUAAUGGGUGAUGGCGUGCCUUUUGUAGAAUGAACCGGCGAGUUACGAUUUGAUGCAAGGUUAAGCAGUAAAUGUGGAGCCGUAGCGAAAGCGAGUCUGAAUAGGGCGUUUAGUAUUUGGUCGUAGACCCGAAACCAGGUGAUCUACCCUUGGUCAGGUUGAAGUUCAGGUAACACUGAAUGGAGGACCGAACCGACUUACGUUG